GCCGCGUUCGUCUAGUGGCCAAGGACGCUGCCCUCUCACGGCAGAAAUCAUCGGUUCGAAUCCGAUACGCGGCG
rnacentral:tRNA from 1 species